rfam:Tissierella praeacuta DSM 18095 genome assembly, contig: EK13DRAFT_scaffold00019.19
UUAAAAUAAAAUAUUUGCUUUCAUAUAAUCUCGAUAAUAUGGUUCGGGAGUUUCUACAGGAUAACCGUAAACUAUCCUACUAUGGGUCAGGAUAACAGAUAA